rnacentral:rRNA from 1 species
AACGAACGCUGGCGGCAUGCCUAAAACAUGCAAGUCGAACGAUUGCCUUCGGGUGAUAGUGGCGCACGGGUGCGUAACGCGUGGGAAUCUGCCCUUGGGUUCGGAAUAACAGCUGGAAACGGCUGCUAAUACCGGAUGAUAUCGCGAGAUCAAAGAUUUAUCGCCUGAGGAUGAGCCCGCGUUGGAUUAGGUAGUUGGUGGGGUAAAGGCCUACCAAGCCGACGAUCCAUAGCUGGUCUGAGGGGAUGAUCAGCCACACUGGGACUGGGACACGGCCCAGACUCCUACGGGAGGCAGCAGUGGGGAAUAUUGGACAAUGGGCGCAAGCCUGAUCCAGCAAUGCCGCGUGAGUGAUGAAGGCCCUAGGGUUGUAAAGCUCUUUUACCUGGGAAGAUAAUGACUGUACCGGGAGAAUAAGCCCCGGCUAACUCCGUGCCAGCAGCCGCCGUAA